rnacentral:rRNA from 1 species
UCAACUUGAGAGUUUGAUCCUGGCUCAGAACGAACGCUGGCGGCAGGCCUAACACAUGCAAGUCGAGCGAGACCUUCGGGUCUAGCGGCGGACGGGUUAGUAACGCGUGGGAACGUGCCCUUCUCUGCGGAAUAGCCACUGGAAACGGUGAGUAAUACCGCAUACGCCCUUCGGGGGAAAGAUUUAUCGGAGAAGGAUCGGCCCGCGUUAGAUUAGAUAGUUGGUGGGGUAACGGCCUACCAAGUCUACGAUCUAUAGCUGGUUUUAGAGGAUGAUCAGCAACACUGGGACUGAGACACGGCCCAGACUCCUACGGGAGGCAGCAGUGGGGAAUCUUAGACAAUGGGCGCAAGCCUGAUCUAGCCAUGCCGCGUGUGUGAUGAAGGUCUUAGGAUCGUAAAGCACUUUCGCCAGGGAUGAUAAUGACAGUACCUGGUAAAGAAACCCCGGCUAACUCCGUGCCAGCAGCCGCGGUAAUACGGAGGGGGUUAGCGUUGU